CUAGGUGCCUAAACUCUGAUACCACCUGACGCAGGAGGGUAUGGGAAGGAUCGUUUUGACUUUUGAAACCUCAACCUAACAGAUGCAAAUUUAGACAUUUAACCACCUAAUUAACCUCUCCCUCUACUUGAAUCUACAACCAAGAUUAUGGCAUGAAAAAAAUAAGAAAUAGAGAAACAAAAAUAGGAAAAGAUAGAUGCCAUGGACUUACCCGAUAUGUCAAUCCUAACUCCUCGGUUCAACAAGACUUUAGAAAGCUCUUUAUUUUUGAAGAACUUUAAGAAGAAAAAUCAACCACGGACUUACCAGAUAAGUUGAUCCCAAUUCCUCGGGUGGGCGCAUGGGUUGCGCACAUAUAUCGUGCAGUGUUGGGCGUGCACGUGUUUGGCACGAGGCGAGCACUCGGCUUCUUGCACACAUGCAUUUUGCAAGCAUACUUAGCACACUGGGCGUGCUAGAUGGCUUGUUCGCGUACGCCUAUAGGCUGUGUAAGCAGGUAGCCACUUACGUGCUUUAGUGUACGCUGUGGGGUAUGCAUGCACUACUGCUUGCAAGUCCCACGUGCGUGACCAUAUGAUCUAAAUGUUAGAAUGUGCAAAGGGCCAUGUUUCGCACGUGUGAAGGCCACACAUGUGUGGUCCAUGAAUAUCUAUACCCACAUCACAUGUUGUACUUCUUCUUGGGUCGAGACUCGUGGGCCGAGUCUUUCGUUGGCUGUAAGGCCCAAUAGCUUUUAGUUUUCCUGUCUUUUUUUAUUAUGUCUCUUUUUAGACCAAGAUCUAGGUGUAAUUGAUCUAGAUUUUUUUCUUGUACUUGCACCUUGGUGGUUCAGCUUAGUCUUUAUCUAUCCAUGAAUACUUACGAACAUGUCCAAGAAGCUCAUUAUUGUUUAACCUUUUCUAUCCUUCAGUGGUCUCAAAAACUUUAUGUUUAGUACUAGUCUUUUUCUUAGUCAUUAUUACAUCCUAUCUUUAUGGUAAAAACUUUAAGAACUUCAUUGAUCACAAGAGCCU
rnacentral:lncRNA from 1 species